rnacentral:rRNA from 1 species
CCUACGGGCGGCAGCAGUGGGGAAUAUUGCACAAUGGGGGAAACCCUGAUGCAGCGACGCCGCGUGGGGGAAGAAGUUUUUCGGUUCGUAAAGCCCUAUCGGCAGGGAAGAAAAUGACGGUACCUAACUAAUAAGCCCCGGCUAACUCCGUGCCAGCAGCCGCGGUAAUACGGAGGGGGCAAGCGUUACCCGGAAUUACUGGGUGUAAAGGGAGCGUAGACGGGAGCGCAAGUCAGAAGUGAAAUCCCAUGGCUUAACCAUGGAACUGCUUUUGAAACUGUGCUGCUGGAGUGCAGGAGAGGUAGGCGGAAUUCCUGGUGUAGCGGUGAAAUGCGUAGAGAUCAGGAGGAACACCAGUGGCGAAGGCGGCCUGCUGGACUGUAACUGACGUUGAGGCGCGAAAGCGUGGGGAGCAAACAGGAUUAGAUACCCCUGUAGUC